GUGUGUUUUGUCUGGGGGUUUUGGUGUGUAUGUUAGUGGGAUUGUAGCUUAGGAGGGUGUUCUAGGAAAGUCUAUGGCUGUCUGGAGUGGUUCUCAAUCAGAGGCAGGUGGUUAUCGUUGUCUCUGAUUGGGAACCAUAUUUAGGCAGCCAUAUUCUUUGGUUGUAUUGUGGGUGAUUGUCCUUAGUGUCUUGAUGUCCUUGUUACUGUCGCUGUGUCACUUUGCACCAGUAUUAGGCUGUUUCGGUUUUCGUGUUACGUUUAUUGUUUUUGAUUCGUGUGUACUUUGUUUCAUUAAACAUGGAUCGCAAUAGCCACGCCGCAUUUUGGUCUGACUCUCUUUCACCUAAGGAAAACCGUGACAGAGAGAUAUGACAAGGUGCACAUAUUGAGUACCACAGUACUAGUCUUUUCAUAAAACCUAGCGGUAAAACUCGGAAAUGGUUCCAAUAAUUUUUCCACCAUUCAUUUUUACGUAGGGUAUUUUAGAAGUACUUCAUAAAAAUCGGUGUUUUGUUUAGGCUUACCCUGGUGUGGCGUUUUGAUAACCGCGCAGAUCUCUCUCAGACAAGGUAACUUUUAUCAAUCUAUUCGCCUGUAAUUACCCCCCCCCCUCCCAAAGGAAAUGCUAAUUACCCACAUUUCUCCAUACAAACUCUCAUCAACAAGUAGCAAGUAAUUUAAGGCGUCGCUGGAGCCAUGUGAUAAGAUGGGCAUACUGGAAACCCAGUGACAGUGCUCAGGUCUGAAGCUUCCAUUUUCUGUUGGGAGAGAGAAAAGAGAAAUGGCCCUGUAUUUAACAGAAAAGGUAGCUCAUCCAACAUGGCAGAAGAGGAAGAUCCAGACUGUUGAGAGACCACUUGUCACAUUGUCCAAGUCGAACAGGAGUGAACCCCUCAGGCCAUUGACUUUAGGUCCCAUUCUCCCCAUGUUUUAGAUGUUACAUGCGGAACGUCAGGUUCACCCCACCAACACCAGUGUAUGAUCAACGCCACCCUCAGCCAGGUGAUCUGCUGGAAGUGACGUACUCUCUCUCACUCUGGGGGUACAAGCAGGGAUGACUGGGGCCUUCAGCAAGUACUGACAGGAAGAGCAAUAUGAGUCUGUCAGAGGUCAUCACGUUGGAUGGUGAUGGAGGCUUUGGUGGUCCACACAAUAAAGAAGCAGGUGUCCCUUCCAGUGAUGUGGAGCUGACCUUGGACCUGGUGCCAGUAAGGAUGGUCUUCACGGAGGCGGUAAGACCCUCCCUCCUUGAUAGAGAAAUCCUUCGACUUCACUGCCUCUUCAAUGGUAAGGUCCGUUGCACCAUAGGGACCCACCAGACCAUCCGGUGAGGCACCCAGGAUCCCAGACCCCGUGACCCAAAGCCCUGACUCCUGCACAUCCAUCUCUUAGCAAAGCGUUUCCCAAACUCUGUCCUGGGGACCCCAUGGGGUGCACGUUUAGUUUUUUGCCCUGGCACUACACAGCUGAUUAAAAUCAUCAAAGCUUGGUGAUUAGUUGAUUAUUUGAAUCAGCUGUGUAGUGCUCGGGCAAAAACCAAAACAUGCACCAUGUCCUGGGGUCCCCAGGACUGAACUUGGGAAAGCCUGCUGUAGACAUUUUGAAUGCCUUGAUGCCCUCCUCUUCGUUAUCUGUGCCCCACUUUACAGACGACACCCCAUCCAACGACUGAUCUGAGGACCCUUUUAGCAGGGACUGAGUAACGCGCUUGGCCUUAACCGCUGCUCUGUAAUUGCUGGCCGUCAACCUCCCUCUUCUCAUGGUGUGCCAGUUGGGGUUGGUGUGGUGUCCAAACUGUUGCCUGCCGGCCAGGAUGCCUGCACGCCCCAGGUGCCCUUGUUCUUAUAAUAAUGUCCGGUACAGACAGGGAUAACGGGGAGGGUAGCGGUUGUUCUGGCUCAGGUUCAAGGAGACUUGCCAUUCCACUGUACCUGUCCCAGAGUCUGUUCCUUAGCCACUGAAGAUCCUCCUCUGUGGGCUCUCGGGACAGAGAGUUGUAGUCUUCAGCCGGGUACAGGUCCUCCGCUGACUGCACCUGGUUGGGCUUCCUCCACUCGAAUUCCACAUCUGUACGGCAGAUAUUGUGAACUGCCAAAAUAGGCUGCAUGGCUACACUGAUGAGCUCCACGGAGGCAUUCCCAUGUGGUAGAGAGAAUCCCCUGGUCACCUAUAGAGACCUGCCAACAGGAAGGAUGUUAAGUGACACAUGCCUUUCAAUUCAUGAACCUUUGAACACCAUGAAAUGCAUUUGUUGUAAGAAAUGUGCUGUAUACUGUAAAUAAAGUUUGAUUUGAUUGAUGA